UACGUAGGGACCAAGCGUUGUUCGGAUUUACUGGGCGUAAAGGGCGCGUAGGCGGCGCGGUAAGUCACUUGUGGAAUCUCUGAGCUUAACUCAGAACGGCCAAGUGAUACUGCAGUGCUAGAGUGUGGAAGGGGCAAUCGGAAUUCUUGGUGUAGCGGUGAAAUGCGUAGAUAUCAAGAGGAACACCUGAGGUGAAGACGGGUUGCUGGGCCAACACUGACGCUGAUGACGCGAAAGCCAGGGGAGCAAACGGG
rnacentral:rRNA from 1 species